AACUUUUAACAAUGGAUCUCUUGGCUCUCACAUCGAUGAARAACACAGUGAAAUGUGAUAAGUAAUGUGAAUUGCARAAUUCAGUGAAUCAUCGAAUCUUUGAACGCACCUUGCACCUUUUAGUUAUUCCAAAAGGUACGCCUGUUUGAGU
rnacentral:rRNA from 1 species